rnacentral:rRNA from 1 species
UACGAAGGGUGCAAACGUUGCUCGGAAUUAUUGGGCGUAAAGCGCACGUAGGCGGCAUUGCAAGUCGGAUGUGAAAUCCCUCGGCUUAACCAAGGAAGUGCAUCCGAAACUGCAGUGCUUGAGUACUUAAGAGGAUCGCGGAAUUCCCGGUGUAGAGGUGAAAUUCGUAGAUAUCGGGAGGAACACCAGUGGCGAAGGCGGCGAUCUGGGAAGAUACUGACGCUGAGGUGCGAAAGCGUGGGGAGCGAACAGG